UGCAACAUACUCGAUGUCAAGUCACCAGAAAAAUAAUUGAUCUUUUACUCAACGGAUUUUAGUCAAAUAAAAUGCCAUCGUAUAGCAUAUGACCUCAGGACUUCGGAACAUUCAUCAGUUUUUUAAUCGGCCCUAUAUCGGCUUGGGGAUAAGGGUCUGAAAAAACGUUUGCUGCCCUUUCGUCACAUCCUUUUUUAAGACUCUUAUCGCCAAGACGAUAUAGGGCCGAUCUAAGAAAUAGUUACUGUUCCAGAGUCCUGACGUCAAUUGCAUUUUAUUUGACUCCAAUCCGUCGAGUAAAAAAUUAACUAUUUUUCUGUUGACAUUGGCUUUGUUGCAGCGACAUCUUUCAGUGAAAUGUGAAUCGUGCUCUAUCGGUAGAUUGGACAUAGAAUUGAA